AGCUAGGCCUAACAUUGUUAGGUCGUCAGCUUCUUAGAGGGACUAUCGGUGUUUAACCGAUGGAAGUUUGAGGCAAUAACAGGUCUGUGAUGCCCUUAGAUGUUCUGGGCCGCACGCGCGUUACACUGAUGAAGUCAACGAGUUCAUCUCCUUUAUCGGAAGAUAUGGGUAAUCUUUUGAAACUUCAUCGUGCUGGGGAUAGAGCUUUGCAAUUAUUGCUCUUGAACGAGGAAUCCCUAGUAAGUACAAGUCAUCAGCUUGUGCUGAUUACGUCCCUGCCCUUUGUACACACCGCCCGUCGCUACUACCGAUUGAAUGGCUUAGUGAGGCCCUCGGAUUGAGGUUC
rnacentral:rRNA from 1 species